rnacentral:lncRNA from 1 species
CCUCACCUUGACCAUUCUCUCCCAAAUCAUCAUAGAGUGACUCAAUAACUUAAUCCCCCUAUAGUUGUUGCAACUCUGAAUGUCCCCCUUAUUCUUAUAGAGAGGGAUCAUGGUACUCCACCUCCACGCCUCGGGCAUCUUUGCCGUUCUGAAGAUUUCAUUAAACAAUCCAGUCAACCACCUUACACCGGCCUCUCCAACGAACUUCUAAAACUCCACCGGUAUCUCAUCCGGCCCCG